rnacentral:rRNA from 1 species
GAUGAACGCUGGCGGCGUGCCUAAUACAUGCAAGUCGAGCGAACAGACGAGGAGCUUGCUCCUCUGACGUUAGCGGCGGACGGGUGAGUAACACGUGGAUAACCUACCUAUAAGACUGGGAUAACUUCGGGAAACCGGAGCUAAUACCGGAUAAUAUAUUGAACCGCAUGGUUCAAUAGUGAAAGACGGUUUUGCUGUCACUUAUAGAUGGAUCCGCGCCGCAUUAGCUAGUUGGUAAGGUAACGGCUUACCAAGGCGACGAUGCGUAGCCGACCUGAGAGGGGGGAUGGCCACACGUGGAAAGGAGCAAGGCACAGACCCCAGCGGGGGGGAGGAAGAGGGGAAUUGUCGGAAAGGGGGAAAAGCAGGAGGGAGCACGGCGGGGGGAGUAAAGAAGGUUUAGGGAUCAAAAACCUUUUUUAUGAGGGAAGAAAAAAGUUGAAAGAAACAAUGCACGUCGGGACGGAAGAUAAUAAGAAGGCCACGCCAAACACGGGG